rnacentral:rRNA from 1 species
GACGAACGCUGGCGGCGUGCUUAACACAUGCAAGUCGAACGGAAAGGCCCUGCUUUUGUGGGGUGCUCGAGUGGCGAACGGGUGAGUAACACGUGAGUAACCUGCCCUUGACUUUGGGAUAACUUCAGGAAACUGGGGCUAAUACCGGAUAGGAGCUCCUGCUGCAUGGUGGGGGUUGGAAAGUUUCGGCGGUUGGGGAUGGACUCGCGGCUUAUCAGCUUGUUGGUGUGGUAGUGGCUUACCAAGGCUUUGACGGGUAGCCGGCCUGAGAGGGUUACCGGCGACAUUGGGACUGAGAUACGGCGCAGACUCCUACGGGAGGCAGCAGGGGAGAAUAUUGCAGAAUGAGCGGAAGCCUGAGGCAGAAACGCCGCGAGCGGGAUGACGGCCUUCGGGUUGUAAACCGAUUUCGACUGUGACGAAGCGUGAGUGACGGUAAUGGGUAAAGAAGCACCGGCUAACUACGUG